rnacentral:rRNA from 1 species
AGUCGUAACAAGGUCUCCGUAGGGGUACCUGCGGAGGGAUCAUUACACAAUAAACAUAUGAAGGCUGCACCGCCAACAGGCGGCAAGGCUGGAGUAUUUUAUUACCCUUGUCUUUUGCGCACUUGUUGUUUCCUGGGCGGGUUCGCCCGCCUCCAGGACCACAUGAUAAACCUUUUUUAUGCAGUUGCAAUCAGCGUCAGUACAACAAAUGUAAAUCAUUUACAACUUUCAACAACGGAUCUCUUGGUUCUGGCAUCGAUGAAGAACGCAGCGAAAUGCGAUACGUAGUGUGAAUUGCAGAAUUCAGUGAAUCAUCGAAUCUUUGAACGCACAUUGCGCCCUUUGGUAUUCCAAAGGGCAUGCCUGUUCGAGCGUCAUUUGUACCCUCAAGCUUUGCUUGGUGUUGGGCGUUUUUUGUCUUUGGUUUUGUCCAAAGACUCGCCUUAAAACGAUUGGCAGCCGGCCUACUGGUUUCGCAGCGCAGCACAUUUUUGCGCUUGCAAUCAGCAAAAGAGGACGGCACUCCAUCAAGACUCUAUAUCACUUUUGACCUUCGAUCAGGUAGGGAUACCCGCUGAACUUAAGCAUAUCAAUAGCCG